rnacentral:tRNA from 1 species
ACCCCCGUAGCGUACCGGUAGCGUGCGUGUCUGUGAUGCAGGAGGUCAUGGGUUCGAAUCCCCGGCGCCC